GGCUGAACUCAAGCCAGAGGAAACAUGACCUGUGGAUGAGUCCGUGUGAGAGCACGUACGCACCAAAGUGUUUGUGGCCAGAGUUCACUCCAGAGCAGGUACACCUCAAAGUACCUAUGGCCAUGGAGAAGUGCAUGCUGCAGGAGGUACACCUUGCAACAUCCAUGUCUGUGGAUAAAGCCAUGCUAGAGUACCUAGAAGUGUCUGUGGGUGUGGAUAAGAUCAUAACACAGCAAGUGUCUGAGGAAACCUCUGAAGGGACUGUGGCAAAUGGAACAGGCCAUGCCACAGCCAGUACACCUCAAUGUGACUGUGGCUGUGGCACAUCAGAACAAGUAGACCUCAUAGCAUCUACGACUGAUGACACAAAAACCAACCCUGCUGCUCAUUUCUUUUCACAAGACUUAAAAAAGACCACCACGAGGCGGGAAGAGCUGGAACAGAAGCUAAAGUCAGGCUAAAGGGAAGCAAAAUUUGCAGAAUCUUCUCUACUGGGCUGUCUUUUCUGUGAGCCAGGAUCAGAGUGCUGGGCCAAAGCAGGAUGAAGACGUGAAAACUUGUCUCUGGAGUGUUCUGUGAAACAAAAUUACAACAUCAUUGAGGCUUGCUGUGGUCUAUGAAUGGGAAAAGGGAAAAGAGCCUAGUUUUUUUUCCAUGCUGGAAUUAAUUUAAAUUUCAAUUGUUAUAUCACAUCUUCCAACAUGCAAAGCAG
ensembl:lncRNA